rnacentral:lncRNA from 10 species
GAGACAUUGAAACAUUCAGUCAACAGUGUUUGCCACUCAUGUAAUCCGUUCCAAAGAUGGCAGCAGUCUAUUAGGAAAAAAUCACUCAUCAGGAUAAAAAUGCCUGGUCUCUCCGAAUAGUCUCCCCUCCUCCGCUUCCUUCCCAGGAUAGUUCCCCGGUGAGUGGGAGCAGUUAACAUCUUAUGGUGGUGGGAAAACCUGGGCUGUUGGGCAUGAUGUCCUCUACCUCUUCUGGUCUCCAGGGCUGUGUCCCUGUUCCCUGGGUGUUUCCUGGCCUUCAAAGCUGAAACCUGAGGCUGGUGUCACUGGUAAUCUGAUCUCUUUGGGUCUGGGCAGGAUUAUCACUUCCUGCUGACUCAGCCAGUCAGCUCCCGCAGGCUACAGACUCCGGAAUAUCUGCCAUGCCCUUCCUCCAGCCUCUGGCCCAGCCUCGCAUCCAGGCUCUGCUGUGCGGUCAGCUCCCCUCACCACUCUGUGCACGCUGUGGAUCCUUGGCUUCUCAACGCUGCAUCCCUAUCCUGUAAAGGUCGAGGGCACCCCAGAAUGCUGAGCCCCAGAGCCCUCUUUCUGCCUGACCACCCCGGCUGCCCAGCUCGCUGUGAUGUGCCUGAGGUGCAGACUGCUCUUGGAGUAACUCACCUUGAAGCACAGCCUCCAGACAGGAAGUCAAAGGGAACCUUACUGUGUGCCCUUCCUCUCCUUUUCCAUCUUCCUGCCAUCCCCAGGACCAGAAGCUGGCCAGGCCUUUCCUUACUUCCACUCUGUCCUCAAUCCCUUCCUCCCUCUCCAGCCAGGUAUGCAGGGUCUCCUUGGCUUUAUAAAAACACCUCUCUGAAUAGAGCCCCUUAUGCUCAGUGAUUAAUUUGACAGAGGGUUCUAGAGAUUAUUUCUCAGGACAAUAGCUUAUGUCAUUCCUUUUCUGAAGCACAGUAUAUUAAUACUGAACAUCACCCUGAUCUUCCCCUUGGCCUUUCUCCUAUAAAAUAUAUACUUAGAUGAAUGCUAAGGGAGAAGAGACAAAUGUUUUUGACUCAUAAAAGCAAAAUAAAGAGGCGGGUGGCUCAUGCCUGUAAUCCCACGUCUUUGGGAGGCAGAGGCAGUAGGAUCCUUUGAGCCUAGGAGUUUGAGACCAGUCUGGGCAACAUGUCGAGGCCCCAUCUCCUAC